rnacentral:rRNA from 1 species
CGACCGGCGCACGGGUGAGUAACGCGUAUGCAACUUACCUAUCAGAGGGGGAUAACCCGGCGAAAGUCGGACUAAUACCGCAUGAAGCAGGGGCCCCGCAUGGGGAUAUUUGCUAAAGAUUCAUCGCUGAUAGAUAGGCAUGCGUUCCAUUAGGCAGUUGGCGGGGUAACGGCCCACCAAACCGACGAUGGAUAGGGGUUCUGAGAGGAAGGUCCCCCACAUUGGUACUGAGACACGGACCAAACUCCUACGGGAGGCAGCAG